rnacentral:rRNA from 1 species
CCCUUAGAUGUUCUGGGCCGCACGCGUGCUACACUGAGUGGAUCAGCGGGUCAGGUUGCGCGAAAGUGUUUCCUAAUCUUUAAAUCCGCUCGUGAUGGGGAUUGACGGUUGCAAUUUUCCGUCAUGAACGAGGAAUACCUUGUAAGCGCGGGUCAUCAUCCCGCGCUGAAUACGUCCCCGCCCUUUGUACACACCGCCCGUCGCUCCUACCGAUUGAGUGGUCCGGUGAGGCUUUGGGAUCUGAGCGGAAAGAGCGUUUCGCUGUUUCUGCCCGGAAAACUCAGUCGAACCUUAUCAUUUAGAGGAAGGUGAAGUCGUAACA